GCCUCGUGGAUCUGCGAGGGGGAGAGCAGGUGCACGUGGGAGUCGAUGGCGCCGGCCGUGAGGAUCUUCCCCUCGCCGGAGAUCACAUCGGUGGACGGGCCGAUGACGAGCCGCGGAUCCACCCCGUCGGCGAUAUCGGGGUUGCCGGCGCGACCGAUCCCGACGAUGCGGCCGUCGCGGAUGCCGACAUCCGCGCGGACGACGCCCCACCAGUCGAGGAUGACCGCGUUGGUGAUGACCGUGUCGAGCGCCCCGUCGGCCCGGGAGACCGUGCUCUGUGCCAUCGAUUCACGGAU
rnacentral:sRNA from 1 species